AAUGUAAUCGAUUUCAAAAACAUCAAACAUGACAAUGGCACAGAAACCUAGAAUAAGACUUUAGUGCACUGUUAUCACAGGUGUUCAUUGAGGGUUCUGGAUUUAAUUACAAAUUACAACCUUGAAUAAAAUUCCUAAUAAAUAGUUGUAUUGAACCGUACAUUGUGUCAAUACAUUGAAUUUUCCUCAACGUAUUGUUAUACGAAAAACCUAACAUACUUCAAUAUAAGCGACAGUAGUAUAGUCGUGAAGUAGAAUUCAUGAUGAAUUUUAGAAUUUUUUGUUUUAUUAUAUCGGCAUUGUAUUUGUCUACAUCGCUAAAUUUAGCAUCUGCAUCUGGCGAAGCAGGUCAAAAUUGUGUCCAAUUUGGAAUAAGAGUACCUGGCACUGUGUGCAAAGAUUUAUGUGUGAUUUCCGCUCUAUAUGGUAGUUGCAAAGGCGGAUCGAACUGUUG